UUAUCUUAGCGGUGGAUCACUCGGCUCGUGCGUCGAUGAAGAACGCAGCUAGCUGCGAGAACUAAUGUGAUUUGCAGGACACAAAUAAUUAAUAAAAGCAAAAAAUUCAAAUCAUGCAUUUGUAUCAUCAUGGGGUAAAUAUAUGGCUAAAUAAUAAACA
rnacentral:rRNA from 1 species